UACGUAGGGUGCGAGCGUUAAUCGGAAUUACUGGGCGUAAAGCGUGCGCAGGCGGUUAUAUAAGUCAGAUGUGAAAUCCCCGGGCUUAACCCUGGACCCGCAUUUGUGACUGUAUAGCUAGAGGACGGUAGAGGGGGAUGGAAUUUCGCGUGUAGCAGUGAAAUGCGUAGAUAUGCGGAGGAACACCGAUGGCGAAGGCAAUCCCCUGGACCUGUACUGACGCUCAUGCACGAAAGGGUGGGGAGCAAACAGGAUUAGAUACCCUGGUAGUCCACGCCCUAAACGAGGUCAACUGGUUGUUGGGUCUUCACUGACUCAGUAACGAAGCUAACGCGUGAAGUUGACCGCCUGGGGAGUACGGCCGCAAGGUUG
rnacentral:rRNA from 1 species